GGCGAACGGGUGCGUAACACGUGGGCAUCUGCCGAAAAGUGGGGGAUAGCUCGCCGAAAGGCGAAUUAAUACCGCAUGUGGUCAGGAGAGCAACAUCUCUCCGAAUCUAAAGCCGGGGCAACCUGGCGCUUUUUGAGGAGCCCGCGGCCUAUCAGCUUGUUGGUGAGGUCACGGCUCACCAAGGCGAUGACGGGUAGCUGGUCUGAGAGGACGACCAGCCACACUGGAACUGAGACACGGUCCAGACACCUACGGGUGGCAGCAGUCGAGAAUUUUUCUCAAUGGGGGAAACCCUGAAGGAGCGACGCCGCGUGGAGGAUGACGGCUUUCGGGUUGUAAACUCCUGUCAUUUGGGGACAAUGCUUCGGAAUUAACUGUUCCGGAGUUGAUGGUACCAGAAGAGGAAGAGACGGCUAACUCUGUGCCAGCAGCCGCGG
rnacentral:rRNA from 1 species